rnacentral:misc_RNA from 1 species
UCCGGUUUGUCACCGGCAGUCUCCCAUGAGUCCCCAACUUAAUGCUGGUAACUAGGGGCGAGGGUUGCGCUCGUUGCGGGACUUAACCCAACAUCUCACGGCACGAGCUGACGACAGCCAUGCAGCACCUGUGUACCGGCCUAUUGCUAGGGGGAAUCCAUCUCUGGAAGCCGUCCUGCCAUGUCAAGGGCUGGUAAGGUUCUGCGCGUUGCUUCGAAUUGAACCACAUGCUCCACCGCUUGUGCGGGCCCCCGUCAAUUCCUUUGAGUUUUAAUCUUGCGAUCGUACUCCCCAGGCGGAAUGCUUAAUGCGUUAGCUGCGCCACCGAAGAGCAUGCUCCCCGACGGCUGGCAUUCAUCGUUUACGGCGUGGACUAC